rnacentral:rRNA from 1 species
AGAGAGAGACAUGCGCGCAUAUCAAUAAGCGGAGGAAAAGAAACUAACUAGGAUUCCCUCAGUAACGGCGAGUGAAGCGGGAAGAGCUCAAAUUUGAAAUCUUCAAGGUUCUACCUUGACGAAUUGUAGUUUAAAGAAGUGUUUUCUGUUGGAGUUUUGGUAAAAGUUCUUUGGAAUAGGACAUCAUAGAGGGUGAGAAUCCCGUAUUUGACCAUUAUUUCCAACUUCGUGAUACACUUUCAAAGAGUCGGAUUGUUUGGGAAUGCAGUCCAAAAUGGGUGGUAAAUUUCAUCUAAAGCUAAAUACCGGCGAGAGACCGAUAGCGAACAAGUACCGUGAGGGAAAGAUGAAAAGAACUUUGAAAAGAGAGUUAAACAGUACGUGAAAUUGUCAAAAGGGAAGCGUUUGACACCAGUGUUGUUUUUCCGAAAAUCAAUUACGAAUGUUUUAUUUUUGAGGAGUUAUGACUUCAUCGGCUUGCUCCUUUCUCUAUGAAACUUUCUUAAUGCACUUUUCGGUUAACAAGUCAACAUCAAUUUCUUUUGUUGUAAAAGGGUAUGAGGAAGGUGGCUUUCUUUUCGGAGAAAGUGUUUAUAGCCUUGUGCCUCUGCAAUCGGAGAGAUUGAGGUCUGCAGCGUAGAUCCUUCGGGGUUAGAUACAUUUGUGCUAAGUUAUAGCUUUUCAUAGACAACUUGUUGACUAUGUUUAGUCUUGUAGCUUACUCGCUUAUCGCUAUUUUACCUACGCUUAGGAUGUUGAUAGUCACAGCGUGUA